UCUUUUUUUAUUUUCCUUCUUUAUUAUUGCCUUGGCCAAAAUAGCCUUAUUGGGAUGGCCUCACUAGCCCACUAAGGGCUGGUGCGCCACCCAUGGUCCUAUUUGGUUCUCUCCCGGGUGGGUGGCCCCUCUCGGUAAAACCUCGGAACCCAUUCAUCACUCCCGGUACUUUACCGGUAAUGCCCAAAAUCUUUCCGGAAGCCAAAUGGAACAAUCCUAUAUAUCAAUCUUCAUUUGCGGACCAUUCCAAAGACACUCAUGACGUCCUGGAUCUCAUCCAGGACUCCGAACAACAUUCAGUUACCACAAUCAAUAAUUCAACUAUAC
rnacentral:lncRNA from 1 species